rnacentral:rRNA from 1 species
AUGAGGGAGCUGGUGGGGAGGCCCGGGACGUGGGGCGGGCUCUGGCUGCGGCUCGGCCAAGCCGCGCUCGCCGCCGCCUCCAUCGCCGUCAUGGCCUCCGCCAACGGCUUCGCCGGCUACACCGCCUUCUGCUAUCUGAUUGCAUCGAUGGGAUUACAAGCGCUCUGGAGCUUGGGGCUUGCAUGUCUUGAUGGAUACGCCCUUAAAGUCAAAAGAGAUCUCAACAAUGCUGUUUUAGUGAGCUUAUUUGUAGUCGGAGACUGGGUUACUGCGAUUCUCUCGUUUGCUGCAUCGUGCUCAGCUGCUGGUGUAACAGUUCUUUUUGAGAGGGACAUUUCUUUCUGCAGAAGAUAUUACGAACUGCCUUGUGGGAGAUUUCAACUCGCGACGGCAUUCGCUUUUCUGUCCUGGGCGCUAAGUGCUACAUCAGCGGUCAUCAUGUUUUGGCUCCUGGCAUCCUUCUGA